UCCUAAGGUAGCGAAAUUCCUUGUCGGGUAAGUUCCGACCUGCACGAAUGGCAUAAUGAUGGCCAGGCUGUCUCCACCCGAGACUCAGUGAAAUUGAUAUCGCCGUGAAGAUGCGGUGUACCCGCGGCUAGACGGAAAGACCCCGUGAACCUUUACUAUAGCUUGACACUGAACAUUGAAUUUUGAUGUGUAGGAUAGGUGGGAGACUUAGAAGUAGGAACGCC
rnacentral:rRNA from 1 species